GGGCCCGUAGCGCAGCCUGGCCGUCGCGCCCCCUCUCAACGGGGGAGGACGCCGGUUCGAAUCCGGUCGGGUCCA
rnacentral:tRNA from 1 species